rnacentral:rRNA from 1 species
UCUCCUGGGGAAACGGGUGGUAAUGCCGGAUGCUCCAGUUGAUCGCAUGGUCUUCUGGGAAAGCUUUCGCGGUAUGGGAUGGGGUCGCGUCCUAUCAGCUUGACGGCGGGGUAACGGCCCACCGUGGCUUCGACGGGUAGCCGGCCUGAGAGGGCGACCGGCCACAUUGGGACUGAGAUACGGCCCAGACUCCUACGGGAGGCAGCAGUGGGGAAUAUUGCACAAUGGGCGCAAGCCUGAUGCAGCGACGCCGCGUGAGGGAUGGAGGCCUUCGGGUUGUAAACCUCUUUUAUCGGGGAGCAAGCGAGAGUGAGUUUACCCGUUGAAUAAGCACCGGCUAACUACGUGCCAGCAGCCGCGGUAAUACGUAGGGUGCAAGCGUUAUCCGGAAUUAUUGGGCGUAAAGGGCUCGUAGGCGGUUCGUCGCGUCCGGUGUGAAAGUCCAUCGCUUAACGGUGGAUCCGCGCCGGGUACGGGCGGGCUUGAGUGCGGUAGGGGAGACUGGAAUUCCCGGUGUAACGGUGGAAUGUGUAGAUAUCGGAAAGAACACCACA